CCUACGGGGGGCUGCAGUGGGGAAUAUUGGACAAUGGGGGGAACCCUGAUCCAGCCAUGCCGCGUGUGUGAAGAAGGCCCUCGGGUUGUAAAGCACUUUCAGUGAGGAAGAACGCCUGGUGGUUAAUACCCAUCAGGAAAGACAUCACUCACAGAAGAAGCACCGGCUAACUCCGUGCCAGCAGCCGCGGUAAUACGGAGGGUGCGAGCGUUAAUCGGAAUUACUGGGCGUAAAGCGCGCGUAGGUGGCUUGAUAAGUCGGUUGUGAAAGCCCCGGGCUCAACCUGGGAACGGCAUCCGGAACUGUCAAGCUAGAGUGCAGGAGAGGAAGGUAGAAUUCCCGGUGUAGCGGUGAAAUGCGUAGAGAUCGGGAGGAAUACCAGUGGCGAAGGCGGCCUUCUGGACUGACACUGACACUGAGGUGCGAAAGCGUGGGUAGCAAACAGGAUUAGAUACCCUGGUAGUC
rnacentral:rRNA from 1 species